GGCGCACGGGUGCGUAACGCGUGCGAACCUGCCCUUAGGUUCGGAAUAACAGUUAGAAAUGACUGCUAAUACCGAAUAAUGACUUCGGACCAAUGAUUUAUCGCCUUUGGAUGGGCCCGCGUAGGAUUCGCUAGUUGGUGAGGUAAAGGCUCACCAAGGCGACGAUCCUUUGCUGGUCUUAGAGGAUGAUCAGCCACACUGGGACUGAGACACGGCCCAGAAUCCAACGGGAGGCAGCAGUGGGGAAUAUUGGACCAUGGGCGAAAGCCUGAUCCAGCAAUGCCGCGUGAGUGAUGAAGGCCUUAGGGAUGUAAAGCUCUUUUACCCGGGAUGAUAAUGACAGUACCGGGAGAAUAAGCCCCGGCUAACUCCGUGCCAGCAGCCGCGGUAAUACGGAGGGGGCUAGCGUUCUUCGGAAAUACUGGGCGUAAAGCGCACGUAGGCGGCAUAGCAAGUCAGGGGUGAAAUCCCGGGGCUCAACCCCGGAACUGCCCUUGAAACUGCUAAGCUAGAAUCCUGGAGCGGCGAGUGGAAUUCCGUGUGUAGCGGUGAAAUUCGUAGAAAUUCGGAAGAACACCAGUGGGGUAGGCGACUCG
rnacentral:rRNA from 1 species